rnacentral:lncRNA from 1 species
UGACCGCUCGCAUCGGUGGAAGAGCCGCUAUUUUUUUGUAAAAAGCCAUUCCGUGGGGUUGUCUGAGGUUCCUUCCAAGUGGGUAGACACCUCUUCCUUCGAAGCUGGGAAUCUCUCCGUAGGGGAACUUUCUCCGGAAGAGCACUAUGUGUAUUCCUGCCUACUAUCUGUCCGUUCGGAUCCCAUUGAUUAUUCUAGUUUGAUGGCCGGGACUUGGAAAUCUGUUCAUCCGCAUCUCGUCCCCUCUGGUAAUUUACAUUUGACUGUUAAUUUUUCCUUUUUUCAGGCGAACCUGACGGAGAAGGUUUGUCGGGCU